rnacentral:rRNA from 1 species
UACGGAGGGAGCUAGCGUUGUUCGGAAUUACUGGGCGUAAAGCGCGCGUAGGCGGCUUUGUAGUUAGAGGUGAAAGCCUGGAGCUCAACUUCAGAAUUGCCUUUAAGACUGCAUCGCUUGAAUCCGGGAGAGGUGAGUGGAAUUCCGAGUGUAGAGGUGAAAUUCGUAGAUAUUCGGAAGAACACCAGUAGGCGAAGGCG